CUACGGGAUGCUCCAGUGAGGAAUAUUGCACAAUGGGGGGAACCCUGAUGCAGCAACGCCGCGUGGAGGAUGACGCAUUUCGGUGUGUAAACUCCUUUUAUAUGUCAAGAAAAUGACGGUAGCAUAUGAAUAAGCACCGGCUAACUCCGUGCCAGCAGCCGCGGUAAUACGGGGGGUGCAAGCGUUACUCGGAAUCACUGGGCGUAAAGGACGCGUAGGCGGGUUGGAAAGUCAGGUGUGAAAUCCUACAGCUUAACUGUAGAACUGCACUUGAAACUUCUAAUCUAGAGUAUGGGAGGGGGAGAUGGAAUUAGUGGUGUAGGGGUAAAAUCCGUAGAUAUCACUAGGAAUACCUAAAGCGAAGGCGAUCUCCUGGAACAUUACUGACGCUAAGGCGUGAAAGCGUGGGGAGCAAACAGGAUUAGAUACCCCUGUAGUC
rnacentral:rRNA from 1 species